GUUGGAAUGACAAUGAAGAGGGGGUUGGGUCACGGGAGUGAGCAUUGGAGUGGGGGUUGGGUCACGGGAGUGGGGUCUUAGGGACCCUCAGCCCUCCUUGAGAAUCCUGAGCAUGAUGUCUGGCAGAGCCUGGACGCUGCCCUCUCCUAAGCAGCCCUUCCCUGAUCACACGAGCUCUGACUUCAGAGUCCCCAGUGGUUUAAGCAGCAAGGGGGCUGGGGGUGGCCCAGCCUGAGAAGUCCACCACCAGAUGGUCCAGGACUGGCAUGAAGGGAUUAUUUGGGGUCCUCUAUCUGGGGUAAGUGGGUCCUCAGUCCUCCCUCAGCAUGUCACCUUGCCUCCUUACAGAGCCUGGGCCCGCUUCCCUCCACCGAUCUCAAGCCGCCCCUCAGACCGAAAACCUCGCUUCUCUCUAACCACUAAUGCUCAAGUCAGUGGCGUCACAUCUGGGCACCUGGGCUUCCCUGGGUUGAGAGCAGGGGUGGAACCGGAUUCUGCCUGGCUUGGGCUGGGGGGUUGAUUUGUGAAGCAGAGAACAGCAGCCCAAAUUUGAUUGUCACGUUGGCAGCCACAGGGAGCGCCUCAAAAACCUUGAAUAAUAGAAUAACAUAAUGAAACCAGAACACCUGUCACUCAGCAUCAACAACCUUCAAUACAUGUCAUAUCUGGUUCCAGUUUGAGGCUCACCUACUUGUAUCUCAGCUGCUGGAAUAAUGUGGAGCAAAUCUAAGACAUCAUUCCAUUUCAUCUCUAAAUACUUCAAUAUGUUUUUCUAAAAGUUAAGAACUUUAUGUUAACUAAAAUCCCAAUACAGUUUUCAUUUCUAAAAAAAUUAAAUAAAUGGUUAUCAGAUGUUUAACUGAUUUACACACUUAUCUGGCAGACUUACACUUUGUAAAAGUAUGUUUAUUUGAAUGAGAGCCCAAACACGGUAUUAUACAGUGAUUUUUUUUGUCGUUAUAACCCUUAACUCUUUCGUCAUCUGUAGGUCCCCUCCACUGGACCUCUUUCCCUGCCAUUGUUUUGUUGUUUUUGGAAAGAAACAGAUCUUGCGCUCUCUGCAGUUUUCCAUAGUCUGGGUUUUGCUGAAUGCAACACUGUGAUGUCCUUUAUCAUAUUCUUCAGCCCUUCAUUUCUAGGGCUACAAGAUGCUCCUGGUUCAUCUUGUUUAUGCCCUGCCCCAGUGCUAAACUAAGCUAUUUCUCCAGAGGUCUGGUUCGCUUCAUUGGGAAAUGGUUCUAGGUGGGAAUCGACAUCUGGGUUCUAGGUGUGCUCGUUGCUACAGAGUAGUUUUUAGUCAUAGGCUUCUCUGCUGAGAACAAUGAAAUAUAUGUUUGUAUAUACCACGUAUAUACACAUCUGUUGAAUUUAUAUAUGUAAACAUUUGCCUAUAUAUUAAAUUAAAUACAAUUUUAUACUGAGGUCUUCAACUCUAAUCCGUUACCACAAGGAUCAUUCUAGCUUUCUCUUCUUGUUUUUCUAUAGUCUAUCACUCCAUCCGUGAGAAACCUGUCUCCCAUCAUCCACUAACCAUUUAGUUAAUAGUUUAAUACCAGCAUGUGCAUACAGCAGAUUUGGAUUUGGUAACCCAUAACGUUGUGCCUCCAUAAGAAAAACAAACAAACAAACAAACAAACCUUGUAUCAGUUACAGUGCAGUACUUCUGUGUAGCUCCUUUGGCCUUUAGUCUUACAGACUCCACUAAUUUUCAACAUUAUUAAGACAGUAAUAACGACCUCAUAAUUCCCCCCACUUGCUUCACUGAGGUAAUUUCAUACAUUUAUAAUACAUCUAGGUUUAUGUGUGUGUGUGCGUGCGCACACGUGCAACAUUCUGCAUUCUGUCCUAUGAUUUUUCCAACCUCUUAUUUUUAAAAUUUGCACACUUUAAGCUUCACUUUUUGUGCUGUAAGCAUCUGUGGGUUUUGAAAAAUGUCUGCUGCCCUUGUCUUGGUCCAUUCGGGCUGCCCGAACAAAAAUACCAUAGACUGGGUGGCAUAUAAAUGACAGAAUUUUAUUUCUCAUGCUUCUGGUGGCUGGGAAGUCCAAGAUCAGGUUCAACAUUUGCUGACAAAUUUUGUGUCUGGCAGGAACCUGCUUCCCAGUUCAUAGACAGCUCUCUUUCCCAUGUCCUCACAUGGAAGACGGGGCAAGGGAUCUCUGUGGGAUCUGUUUAAUAAAGACACUAAUGCUAUUCAUGACGGCUCUGCUGUCAUGAUUUAAUCAGCCCCCAAAUGACCCACCUCAUACCUAAUACCAUCACCUUGGUGUUAGGAUUUCAACAUAUGAAUUUUCUGGAAAGACAAACAUUGAGACCCAGACAACGUUGUAUCCACCAUUGCAGUAUCAUGCAUAGUAGUUUCACUGCACUAAUAAGUAGCCUGUGCUCCUCUUAUAGCCCCCUUGGCUCCCACUGAUAGGUUUAUGAUAUCUAUAAUUUUGCCUUUUCCAGAAUGUCAUAUAAGUGAAAUCUUACCCUAUCUAGGCUUUUCAGACUGUAUUCUUUCAUACAGCAAUAUGAGCAUAAGACUCACCCAUGUCUUUGUGUGGCUUGUAACAUAUCCUUUUAUUGACUAAUGGUAGCUCAUUUUAUGGUUGUGCCAUGUUUUGUUAUCCAUUCACCUAAUGCAAUAUAUCUUGGAUGCCUCUAUUUUUAUAAAAUAGUGAUUAUAAAAUAAGUUAUUGUAUACAUUCAUAUACAAGUUUUUAUGUAGAAAUAAAUUUUAAAAUCAGCUAGAUAAAAUGCCUAGGAGUAUGAUUGCUGAAUCUUAUGGUAAGACUAUGUUUAGUUUUUUAAAGAAAAUGUCAGAUUAACUUCCAAAGUCGUUUUGCAUUUCUACCAGUAAUGAAUGAAAGUUUCUGUUGUUCCACGUUUUCACUAGCAAUUGGUCUUGUAUUUUUUUGGUGGGGGGAGGGAUUUCAGACAUUCUAGAAGGUAUGUAGUGGUGUCUCAUUUUAGCACACAAUUCUCUAAUGACAAAGGACUUUCAGCACCUUCAAUAUGUUUACUUGUCAUCUGUAUAUCUUCUUUGGUGAAACAUCUGUUCAGAUCUUUUGACUGUUUUCAGUUAUUUUUCUGUUGUUGAGUUUUAAGAAUCCGUGUAUAUUAUAGAUACAUGUUGUUUAUCAGAAAUGUGUACUACAGAUGUUUUCUCUUAGUCCGCAGCUUUUGUUUUCAUUCUGUUUACAGUGUCUUUUGAAGAGCAUAAGACUUUUAUUUUAAUACACUCCAAUUUGGCAAUUUUUUCUUUCAUUGAUCAUGAUUUUGGUGUUGAAUUUAAAAACACAUCACCAAACUUAAGCUUACGUAGAUAUUCUCUUAUGUUUUCUUAGAGAAGUUGUAUAGUUUUUGCAUUUGCAUUAUCUCUAUGAUGUAUCUUUGGUUAAUUUUCGUGAAAUACCUAAG
rnacentral:lncRNA from 10 species